rnacentral:lncRNA from 1 species
CGAAGAAAGAUGGCGGAAAACGUGGAAGAGACAACUUCGUCACGUGGCGAAUCGCGUGACGGCAUCACCUUGGCGUCAAAUCGUCAGACCUCAUCAUUCGCCUAAAGUACGAUCGAGUAUGACGGAUCUCAAUACCAAUAGGCUUACGGACGACAAACACGAAGAAAAUAAUAUCGGUAGAAUUUUAUAUGCCGUUGAACAGUACGAUUUUAUCAAGCAAGAUUCUUUCUUCGAAAAUAACGUAGAUUCAAUUGAGAAAACUUACGUAUCCAAAGAGAACGCAACGUCGGGGAAGGUUGCAGAGAAUCUCGAAUAUCCUCGGAUAGAUCCUAGUAGGAAUG